rnacentral:lncRNA from 1 species
CUGGCCAACAUGGUGAAACCCUGUCUCUACUAAAAAUACAAAAAUUAGCUGGCCGUGUUGGUGGGCACCUGUAAUCCCAGCUACUCGGGAGGCUGAGUCAGGAGAAUUACUUGAACCCACGAGGCAGAGGUUGCAGUGAGCUGAGAUCAUGCCAUUGCAUUUCAGCCUGGGCAACAAGAGUGAAAACUCUAAAAAACAAAACCAAACAAAAAAACCAUAUAGCAUUUACUAUGUGCAACACACUGUUCUAAACUUUGCAAAUGUGAACUCAUUUGAUCUUCAGAAGAUGCAGGGAAACGUAAAAACCUGCUUGAAACAGGAGCCACCAAAGAGAGAAGACCCAAGGGACAUCAUCAUCUGACCCCGGGCUCACUUUGCCGGAGGCGUGGGCACCUCUACAUCCCAAUCCUGGGUGUGCAGUACCGCUGUGUGCCUCCGGGGGCGCUGCACACAACACGAAGGGAGUCCUUGGACCUGAGGGGCCUGUGGCCUUGCUUUAAUUGGAGUCGGGCUUCUAUCACUGACAACAGAAGCCUGAGAAAUACCCCAUGCGCCUUAGCAGAACAUCAGUAGUUCAAGUACCGCAGACCCAGUGGUAUGAGGUAACUCUGGGCUUAAAAUGCAAACUUACUGAAAAUAGCCCUUCAUAAAGUGGCAGGGAGAAAGGUCCGUCCUCACCUUAUCAGGACAGUAACACCUGUGGUGCCAUCUGCCUGACCUCAGCCACGUAAGCUGCCUUUGGCCUGGGUCAGCUUCGUAAUCCAGUCAAGCCCAGGACCAAGAGGAAGGGGUGCCUUGAGGCAGCCCAGGCCACUUACCUCUUCCUGCAGGCCGCCCCCAACCACCUGCGCAGUGACCUCAUGCCCAGAGCUGGGGGCUUUGCUCUGCUCUCCAGGUCUGGGAAGAACUGGAUCUUGUAACUGGAGGUGGAGGGCCUGAAGGAAGCCCCAGAUCUCACCUGUAGGUCUUGACCAGCUUGUCGGCGUACAUGUACAUGACUAAAUCCUCAAGAAUCUGGUCCACACUAGCACUGAUGGGGUGCUCUGGGAUGCCCCCGCUCUGGGCAUACAUGACCAGCAUCUCAUGGCCUGUCAUGAAGUUCAGCAGAGCAUCAAACUGAGGACAGUAACCAAUCCACCACCAUACUGAUACAGGAAAUUCUCUGAAUCCUCCAUGGCUGACUGAGGUUGAGGGUGGUUGGCUACGGUAAUGGAAGCCCUGGCACCAGAAAGCAACUUCAAGAGAAAAUUGUCCAAUAGCGCCAGAGCCAGGGC